AUUGAACGCUGGCGGCAGGCUUAACACAUGCAAGUCGAGCGGGGUGAUGGUGCUUGCACUAUCACUUAGCGGCGGACGGGUGAGUAAUGCUUAGGAAUCUGCCUAUUAGUGGGGGACAACAUCUCGAAAGGGAUGCUAAUACCGCAUACGUCCUACGGGAGAAAGCAGGGGAUCACUUGUGACCUUGCGCUAAUAGAUGAGCCUAAGUCGGAUUAGCUAGUUGGUGGGGUAAAGGCCUACCAAGGCGAACAUCUGUAGCGGGUCUGAGAGGAUGAUAGGCAACACUGGGACUGGAACACGGCGGAGACUCCAACGGUAGGCAGCAGUGGGUAAUAUUGGACGAUGGUGGGGACCCUGGACGAGCCAUGCCGCGUGUGUGAAGACGGCCUGAUGGUUGUAAAGCACUUUAAGCGAGGAGGAGGCUCUUUUGGUUAAUACCCAAGAUGAGUGGACGUUACUCGCAGAAUACGCACCUGCGAACUCUGUGCCAGCCGACGCCGUAA
rnacentral:rRNA from 1 species